rnacentral:tRNA from 1 species
AUUAGGUUAGCAAAAUUAAUGUGCUUGAUUUAGGAUCAAGAGAUGGAAAGUUUCCACUUAAUA